UGCUCCCCAUAGAGUAAGUAUAUAUAGAGGAGAAACUGAGGUACUAAACUCUGAAACAGUAAUUUAGUUCCACCAACACCUUCCAGAGACCGCUCGCAUCGCUGAUUUUCUGUUUACCUCGAGAAUUAUUUACUUAACCUCAAAAAUUUUCAGUUGAUCCGUCGAACCUUAUUUUUGGUAAGAGAUUUAUUAUGUCGCAGUCAACUUUGAAAUCCAACAAAUAUUGUGUUCCUAACUGUGGAGAUAUGUAUAGUAAACGUCAUCGUUUUCGAAUGAAGAGAAGCAGCCAACAAUUUUCAAACUUUGGCUCGAAAAAGUUAGUUAUCCAUUGCUCAACUCUAAAACUCCUCAACAAAUUUGUAAGAAGUGAAAUUAGAUAGCCUUAAAGGAAUUUGACAACUGCUAUCCCUGAAUUAUUUCUUCCUGGAUCUUCAAAUCAAGGGGAAGAUGGAGAAGUUCAUGACACUGAAGGAAUACAUCUCCAAAGUGAUGUUGAGAGGGAAGUAUCAACAGAGACUUUGAAGAAUUUUAAGCACCCUCAGAAAACUUCAAUAAUAUAUAGAAAAAGAUAUCGAGGACAACAAUUAAUUGACACUAGAGGCUGUGGGCACUGCAGAGCUGAUCAUUUUUAUCUAUAAGCUGUUUGAUAGCCUGAAUAUGCAAUUGUGAAGGACACAUUAAAAAUUUGGCAUACUAGAAAUAUUUAAAAAAAUGUAAAAUUUUAAAUAGAUGAUUUUUUUAUAUGAA